rnacentral:lncRNA from 1 species
AUACCACUUUUUAUUUGCUAAAACAAUGGAUUUAAAUUCAAUUUAUAAAUUUUAUAAAAUUUCUUGUUUGAAAUCGCUCAAUCCAGACAACCUUUUAAGUUUUUUUACUGACUUAAUUAUUGGAGUGAGUAGCCAAAUAACACUGUUUUAUAUUCUACUAAUACUUUUAUAGAAAUUCAAGAACUCAAGUCAACGAGAUAAUCAUUAUUUAUAGCUAACUAUUUUUUGACCAGUUAUCACGAAGAUUUUUGAGCAGUCGUAUAACACUACAAAAGAACAAUAAUUUAGAUACCACUUUUAGCUACCAUACUAAAGUGGUUGCUAUUUAGCGACCACCGGAUGUGGUCUUUGAAUGGUCUCUAACUUCCUACAAAAAAUGGCGGAAAUAAUAGCGACCACUUGAGAGACCACAAAUACUAAAGACAAUGGAGUAUAGUCUCUAAUAUAGGCGCCAAGCAAUAGCAGAAAGAUAGAGACCAUUUUAAAGAUUACAUGUGUUUUCUAAAUUACAGACCAUGGUUUGUGGUCUCUAAUUUGGGUGUCAAUCAAAUAGCGGAAAAAAUAAUGACCACUUUAGAGACCACACUAUUGUGGUCUCUAAGUUAGAGAUCAAAAUGUGUGAUUGCUAAGUCUUUAGCACUAUAUAG